ACUGCUAUCGGGAUAGGACUAAGACAUGCUAGUCGAGUGGCUCAGCCAAUACGAGCCACGGCAUACAGCUCAGUAACACGUGGCUAAUCUGCCCUUAGGACGAGAACAACCCCGGGAAACUGGGGCUAACUCUCGAUAGGCGAAGAACUCUGGAAUGAGUCUUCACCUAAAUAGUUCAGCGUUACGCUCGUUGAACCGCCUAAGGAUGAGGCCGCGACCGAUCAGGUUGUUGGUGACAUAAUGGCUCACCAAGCCUUUUACCGGUGCGGGCCGUGAGAGCGGGAGCCCGGAGAUGGGCACUGAGACAAGGGCCCAGGCCCUACGGGGCGCAGCAGGCGCGAAACCUCUGCAAUAGGCGAAAGCCUGACAGGGUUACUCUGAGUGACUUUCGCUAAGAAAGUCUUUUGACACCUCUAAAAAUGGUGUAGAAUAAGGGGUGGGCAAGUCUGGUGUCAGCCGCCGCGGUAAUACCAGCACCCCGAGUGGUCGGGACGAUUAUUGGGCCUAAAGCAUCCGUAGCCGGUUUUACAAGUCCUCCGUUAAAUCCAACUGCUUAACAGAUGGGCCGCGGAGGAUACUAUAAGACUAGGAGGCAGGAGAGGCAAGCGGUACUCAGUGGGUAGGGGUAAAAUCCGUUGAUCCAUUGAAGACCACCAGUGGCGAAGGCGGCUUGCCAGAAUGCGCUCGACGGUGAGGGAUGAAAGCUGGGGGAGCAAACCGGAUUAGAUACCCGGGUAGUCCCAGCUGUAAACGAUGCAGACUCGGUGAUGGACUAGCUUAAUGCUAGUCCAGUGCCGCAGGGAAGCCGUUAAGUCUGCCGCCUGGGUAGUACGGUCGCAAGACUGAAACUUAAAGGAAUUGGCGGG
rnacentral:rRNA from 1 species